UUGACCUCAAAUCGGGUGAGACUACCCGCUGAACUUA
rnacentral:rRNA from 8 species